UAAUACGUAGGGCGCAAGCGUUGUCCGGAAUUAUUGGGCGUAAAGAGCUCGUAGGUGGCUUGUCGCGUCUGCCGUGAAAGACUCGGGCUUAACUCGGGUUCUGCGGUGGAUACGGGCUGGCUAGAGGUAGGUAGGGGAGAACGGAAUUCCUGGUGUAGCGGUGAAAUGCGCAGAUAUCAGGAGGAACACCGGUGGCGAAGGCGGUUCUCUGGGCCUUACCUGACGCUGAGGAGCGAAAGCGUGGGGAGCGAACAGGAUUAGAUACCCUGGUAGUCCACGCUGUAAACGUUGGGCGCUAGGUGUGGGGUCCUUCCACGGAUUCCGUGCCGCAGCUAACGCAUUAAGCGCCCCGCCUGGGGAGUACGGCCGCAAGGCUA
rnacentral:rRNA from 1 species